AUUGAACGCUGGCGGUAGGCCUAACACAUGCAAGUCGAACGCGAAAGUCCUUCGGAUGAGUAGAGUGGCGGACGGGUGAGUAACGCGUAGGAAUCUAUCCUGUAGUGGGGGAGUAACGUUUCGAAAGGAACGCUAAUACCGCAUACGCCCCAAGGGGAAAGCGGGGAGUCUUUGGACCUCGUGCUAUAGGAGGAGCCUGCGUCGGAUUAGCUAGUUGGUGAGGUAAAGGCUCACCAAGGCGACGAUCCGUAGCUGGUCUGAGAGGAUGAUCAGCCACACCGGAACUGAGACACGGUCCGGACUCCUACGGGAGGCAGCAGUGGGGAAUAUUGCGCAAUGGGCGAAAGCCUGACGCAGCCAUACCGCGUGUGUGAAGAAGGCC
rnacentral:rRNA from 1 species